GGGAGGCGGAGGACGCAGUGGCACUCCUUUCCCGGCCGCGUGGCGAAGCCCGCGCGCAGCCUCGUCCGGCAGCCACGUCGCCCCAGAUUGUGCGGGAGGACGAGAGCGUCCCCAGGGGAGAAUCCCCACUAGGUGUGCGGGGUUCCUGCGGGGAGGAGCCGUGAACUGUGGGGUUCUCUAUCCCUCCUUUCUCCUGUUAAAAAUUAAACCUAGGAAUGCUAAAACUCCUCACAGAAUCUCUCUCGUUGGUACCCAGAUGGGAGUUGUUCCAGUUUCCUGGUACUUGGGUGAAGAACAAGGAGGAGGUCUGAAGAAGCCAAUUAUGAACCACUUCCAAACCUACAGAAUCACACUACAUAGAGUGGGGUCCAGAAUCCCAAGUGAUUUACAUGCUCAUUAAAGACCGAGAGACAAUGUGCAGGUCUUGCUGUCUCUAACCCAGACCUGAUCAUCUGUGUGGAGUAGAAGAAAGAGCCCUGGAAUGUGAAAAGACACAUGAGAAAGUAGCCAAGCCAAGAGAUGGGGUCUUGCUCUUGCCGAAGCUGGUCUUGAA